GGUUUUGGUGAAGUCUAUAGAGGAAAACUUCCUCAAGGGAGAGAAAUAGCAGUGAAGAGAGUUUCCCACAACGGUGAUGAAGGUGUGAAGCAGUUUGUGGCUGAGGUUGUCAGCAUGAGGUGUCUGAAACACAGGAAUCUUGUUCCGCUUUUCGGGUAUUGCAGGAGAAAGCGAGAGCUUCUUUUGGUCUCGGAGUACAUGCCCAACGGUAGUCUUGACGAGCAUUUGACCCGAGGCUGGGAGAUGAGUUUUCACCAGAGGAAGUGGAGAUGGUUAUGAAACUCGGUUUGCUAUGUUCAAAUAUAGUGCCGGAGUCCAGACCAACGAUGGAGCAAGUGGUCUUGUACCUAAAUGAAAACAUGCCUUUGCCUGAUUUUUCACCGUAUACUUUGGGGAUCGGCACAUUUGCUCCGGUUCUGGUUGAUGCAGCUUCUCUUGUUGUCUCAUCCGCUUCAUGGAGUUGGUCAGCUUCUUCUUCGGUCAACCACUCACCUUACGCUUAUCAGGGAACAGAUCAGCCAUGGGGACAGACGGUAGAGACAAAGAACUCUCUUCACAUAGUUUCAGAACUAGAGAAGCCUAAGACUCAGACGUGAGAUGGUUAGUGUGGUAAUCAUUCACUGCUAUUUCUCUCCCUUGAGGAAGUUUUCCUCUAUAGACUUCACCAAAUCACGGGCAAAGCGAUACACAAAACUUUUAUAUGAUUGCAGAUGAUUCACAAAGCCAAAUGGGUUUUCAGAAACAGAAUCAAAUUCAAAAACAAAUCAAAUUCAAAAACAAAUCAAAUUGAAAAACGGAAGGAGAAGAGAGACGUUAUCUCGUCUGGGAGUGCGACGGGAUUGCUCCAGCGAAGGAGAAGAGAGACGUUCCGAGAUUGACGAGGCGACGGGAUUGCUCCGGCAAAGGAGUGCAGCUCAGGUUCAGAGAUAUCGCGAUCUCGUCUGGGAUUUCUCCGGUGAAGCCAUUGUCGAGUUGGGAGAAAUAAAAAAACUGAAAACCCUUAAGAAACCAAACGACAACGUUUAAAAUAAAAAAAAAACAUUAGUGGGUUAAACGGGUUCCCGUUUAUUUUAGCAAAAACCCAUUUAAUAAAUGGGUCUCAAGUGGGUUACCCAUUUAAAACCCGACUAGCUUAAUGGGUCUAAAUGGGCAUUUAUUUUUUUCAGAACCCAUUAAAAGCCCGCAAACCUAAACCCAUAUUAACAUCCCUAAGAGCAACCCUCAGUGAGCCUAGCUUUACCACCAGUUUGAGAGUGGCUGAACACAAUUGUUCUGCAGAUGAACACAAAAAGCAAUGUAAUAUAAGCAAACACAAUCAAUAUAAGCAAGAGAUUCUAACAUCAGUCAAUAUAAACAAGAGAUCCUAAGCAGUGUAAGUAUGUAACCAUUGUUCUCAGCCCCUUCACUGUCACAUUCUCACACCAGCAUUUUUUUAAAGACAAUGACAAUGACAAUAACCCAUACACAAGUAACAAGUUUCUCUAAGAUAAGAACCAAUGAUAUUACCUCAAAUGUUCAACGUACAUUUGAAUCUUCUGAUCUUGAACCCUCGACUCCAAAAGUACUUGUAGUCUUCCUAGCAUCUUCGUUGCAAAUAUCAUCAACAUCUUCUAUUGUACCUUCAUACUCUGCAAAUCCUCGCAACCAGUUACGAGUACAGAGUAAAGCCUGGACAUUCUUGGGAAGCAAGCGACUUCGGUAUGGAGUUAACACCCGAGCUCCAAUACUGAAAGCUGAUUCAGAUGCUACUGUGGUGAUAGGGAUACUCAGUAUAUCACGUGCCAUCAUCGCCAAAUCACCAAAUCGAGCUUGGUUUUCCCUCCAAUAGCUUAAUACAUCCAAAUUGCGAAAAUACCUUCUAUCUAACCUCUUCUCAUCCAGAUACACAUCUAAAUGUGUUCUUGUGUUUCCUACAUUACUCCCAAGGCUUCUUUCCAAUUCAAAGAGAUCCUGUAAUAUAUUACAUUGUCUAAAUCAUCUUCAAAGUAAAUGCAAAAUUAAGAGUAAAGAUGCUUGAAACUUACAUUGUCAAAAUCAUCUUCAAGAGGUGAUUCAGUAACUAGAUCAUGUGGAGUUGGUGUAGAUGAAGUGCCAGAAGAACUGCCCCAAGUCCUAGCUUGAUACUCUUUAUAAAGUUUAGUCAAAUUAGUCCUAAGCUCUUCAGUUUUUAAACUAGAAGUAGAAGGAUCCACUCUCUCAUAAGCUUUCUCAAGAACUUCCAACUUCAGCCUCGGAUCUAAAAUUGCCCCCAUAGCCAAAAUGAUGCUGUAAUCCUCCCAGUACUUAGCAAAUUUAAUUUGCAUUUCCUUAGCCAUCUGCUUCAAAUCAAAAUCAUCACAGCUCGCAAAAUGCUUCAGCAAUAACUCAAUCCUCCAAACUUCUGUGAAGUACACACUAGAUGUUGGGUACUUUGACCCUGAGAAGAGAGUAGUGAUUUGAUUGAAAGGUUUCAGCAACUCACUUAUUUUUUGCCCACGAUCCCACUCUCUUUCAGAAGGUAGCCAUCUGUAGUGUCUGUCAAAAGCCUCCAAGCUUUUAAAUGCUUCCCUAAACUUUAACGCUCUAACGAGCAUUUCAUAAGUAGAGUUCCACCUGGUAGCAACGUCAAGUGAUAAACCAGAUCCACCAGGAAUCCCCACUCGCUCUACACAUGCCGCAAAGGCUUGAAUUCUUGUCUGAGAUGCUUUCACAUACCUCACACUUUCCCUGAUGUUGUGCAAGAGAUCUUUCGCUAAUUCCAAGCCUUCUUUCACGAUCAAGUUCAGGAUGUGCGCACAACAUCUCACAUGUAAAUACUUACCAUCCAACAAUAAGCCAUAACCACUCAUCAUCUGAAGCUGUCCCUUGAGGAUCCUCUGCAUACUGUCGUUAUUAUUAGCAUUGUCUAAGGUAAUAGAGAAUACCUUCUUCUCUAAACCCCAUUCCAUCAUACACUCCAUAAUCUUGUUAGCAAUCUCUUCUCCUGUGUGUGGAGGCUUCAAAUCGCAGAAAGCAAGAAUCUUACUCUGCAAGUUCCAGCCAUCAUCUAUGAAGUGGGCAGUAAGACAUAUGUAUCCCAUGCUAUUAGGACGAGAUGUCCAAAGAUCAGAAGUAAAGCAAACCCGAGCAGUAUGUCUAGCAAACACUUUCUUCAGCUCUUCCUUUUCUACUUCAUACCUCUUAUAAACAUCUGCUGCAGCCGUUUGUCUAUAAAUGGGCUGACACUCUGGAUUCAGAUACUUGUCUCGUUGUCUAACCUUCUCGUAUUCUACGUAUCUGAACGGAAGAUCAUGAUAAAUGAUUACCUCACUAACCAUCUCACGAUCUCUCUUGUGAUCAUAUGCAUCCUUAGCUUCCUUUGGAGGCUUCUUUGGACAAGUUUCCAAGUGGCGUUGUAGAUGAUGAGUUCCACAGCUCACAUUCUUUUCAUUACGUGUCAAUACAACAAUGCAAGCAUCUGGCCCUUUCUUUGCCAUCAUUUUCUAUCCCCACUGAUACAAAAUCUUCCCAAACCCAUGAUGUUUUACGUCUCUUGCGUUGAGCUUGAGCUGAUUCCCCAGAAUGAGUUUCACUUUGCUGUUCUUCUAGUUGUGUAGCUUCCAAAUUUAUCUCAGCCAGAGCAUCUUCUUCAUUCAUGUCUAUAAACUCAUCCAUCCUGUAAUUAAAAGCAUAUAAAAUUAUAAAUCCUUUGGUUUGUCAUUGUCAUUGUCUUUAAAAUCGGAUCAUCACAAGGAGUCAAGCCAAUAGCAAGUAAUAUGUUUACAGUUCAAUAAAAAUAUUAACUGCAUAAGCCAUUAAUGACAGAGGGAAAGUUGGAGAGAGCGUAUUUUAGAGAACUGAAUGAAGAUGUAUAAAUUGAAUAACUUCACCAUCUUCUUCACGUAUUACGGAAAGUUGGAAACCAAAGGAGUAUCUUGCAUUUACCUCCAAUUAUAAACCAAAGAACUCUAUAAACAUAAAGUAGGUUUUGGUGAAGUCUAUAGAGGAAAACUUCCUCAAGGGAGAGAAAUAGCAGUGAAGAGAGUUUCCCACAACGGUGAUGAAGGUGUGAAGCAGUUUGUGGCUGAGGUUGUCAGCAUGAGGUGUCUGAAACACAGGAAUCUUGUUCCGCUUUUCAGGUAUUGCAGGAGAAAGCGAGAGCUUCUUUUGGUCUCGGAGUACAUGCCCAACGGUAGUCUUGACGAGCAUUUGACCCGAGGCUGGGAGAUGAGUUUUCACCAGAGGAAGUGGAGAUGGUUAUGAAACUCGGUUUGCUAUGUUCAAAUAUAGUGCCGGUGUCCAGACCAACGAUGGAGCAAGUGGUCUUGUACCUAAAUGAAAACAUGCCUUUGCCUGAUUUUUCACCGUAUACUUUGGGGAUCGGCACAUUUGCUCCGGUUCUGGUUGAUGCAGCUUCUCUUGUUGUCUCAUCCGCUUCAUGGAGUUGGUCAGCUUCUUCUUCGGCCAACCACUCACCUUACGCUUAUCAGGGAACAGAUCAGCCAUGGGGACAGACGGUAGAGACGAAGAACUCUCUUCACAUAGUUUCAGAACUAGAGAAGCCUAAGACUCAGAC
rnacentral:lncRNA from 1 species